AUGCAGAGAGUAAUCAGUUGUGCUCCGUUGUGUAAUUCUGUAGAUUUCUGCAGUGCAAACUCUCUUCUGAGGUGGAAUGUCGUGAUUGGUCUCUGUAUGUUUAGUACAGUAGUAAGUAUUUGGCUGGAGACGUCAUGGCUAACAACUGAACGUGACGCUGCUAUCGGUAACCUUGGAAAAGAAGUUGUUCCAACUACGUACCUGUUUUCUUGCGCAGGAGGCUGUUCUGCUGUACCCUGCCCUCAAAAAACAUACCGUAUGUGUGGUGAUGAGCCCAUUUCUUGCUCACCAAUCAGGAUUCGGACGACCAUUUCACGUCCACUGAACUCCUUCAUCCGGCGAGACGCACGCCACGUACGCACGUACGUUUGA
rnacentral:rRNA from 1 species